rnacentral:rRNA from 1 species
AUGCUUGAGUCCAUCGGACAGUUUGGCAAGGACUUGAGAGGGCUUAGUCCAUAUGAGAUGAGUGGACCAUUUUUGCAAAAGAGGAAACAUAAGGUGCUAGAUGGAUUCAAGUAUCAUAAGGAAUCAUGGGAGCUCACAGGUUGCACGGUUAUGGCUGAUGCAUGGACAGAUAAGAAGGGCAGGGGAGUAAUGAAUUUAUUUGUGCAUAGUGCUCAUGGUGUUUGCUUCAUUGAUUCGGUGGACUGCUCCGAUGAUAGAAAAGAUGGCAAAUACAUAUUUGACUUGGUGGACAAAUGCAUAGAAGAUAUAGGAAAUUUUGUGCAAGUGGUGAUUGAUAAUGCUAGUGUGAAUGUAUCAGCAGCUAGUAUGCUAACAGCAAAGAGACCAUCCAUAUUUUGGAAUGGAUGUGCUGCUCACUGCCUAGAUCUCAUGUUGGAGGAUCUUGGGAAGCUUGGACCAGUUGCAAACACUAUUUCAAGUGCAAGAGAAGUGACUAGCUUAUUGUAUGCUCAUACAAGGGUAUUGGAUUUGAUGAGGAAAUUUCUUGGGAAGGACUUGGUUUGCUCUGGUGUUACUCGGUUUACCACUGCUUACUUAAAUAUGAGAAGUUUGCUAGACAACAAGAAGGAGUUGACAAGGCUCUUCAGAUAA